rnacentral:rRNA from 1 species
UACGAAGGGGGCUAGCGUUGCUCGGAAUCACUGGGCGUAAAGGGUGCGUAGGCGGGUCUUUAAGUCAGGGGUGAAAUCCUGGAGCUCAACUCCAGAACUGCCUUUGAUACUGAAGAUCUUGAGUUCGGGAGAGGUAAGUGGAACUGCGAGUGUAGAGGUGAAAUUCGUAGAUAUUCGCAAGAACACCAGUGGCGAAGGCGGCUUACUGGUCCGGUUCUGACGCUGAGGCGCGAAAGCGUGGGGAGCAAACAGG